UGGAGACCGGAAGUGAGACACUCGCGGAUUCCCAGUCGCUCCCAGGUUCAGGGUGGACUCGGACACCGGCAGCUCAGAGGCCUCUCCGGAGUCCCCCCCAACCUGCCCCUAGCCCGCCCCACUGGAAGGGCCGACAGGUUUUGGCAAUUACGAGUAAAACUGCUAUAAACAUUCCUGUACAGGCUUUUUUGUGGACAUAAGUUUCCAGCUCCUUUGGGGAGAUACCAAGGAGCAUCAUUGCUGAGUCAUAUGGUUCCAUUAUGGCUCAGCAUGGCACUGCUGCCAGCCCACUGCCUGAAGAUUAAUGUGUUUACCAGAGAAGUGAAACACACUAGGAUUACAUAUCUGUGUCCAGCAACAAAUCUGACUACUCAGGACCACCGCAUGGUCAGAGAUGGCCAGCCAGUCCCAGAUGUCCCAGCCUUCGCAGGCCAGGCACCUGACAUGAGCAUGAGGAAGCCACAAUGAACAAUCCAGCCUUAGGAGACAAGCCAUGGAGGGGAAAUGAGGAACCCAGCUGCCAGCCAGGACAGACACUCCAGCUGGGUGGCCCCCAUGUGAGCCAUCUCAGCCACGGCCAGGUGCUAGAUCCACUCCAGCUGAGGCCCCAGCUGUCCUGGAGCAGGGGUGAGCAGUCCCCACUGUGCCCUGCCUGAUUUCCUGACCUAUAAAAUGAGCAUCAUUUCAAAUGAAUCAGCAUUCUCAUCUCAACAGACUCAUUGGCAGAAAGAAAUCUAGAUGCUGUGAGAAGAGAGAAGGUGAAAGAACAGUUCAGAAGGAGUGGGAAAAGACAGGUGGAAGAGACACUGGAUAGUUUACUACAAUAUGACUACCUGUACCAUCAAAGGGCCCACUUACUAAAACAUCUGGAUCACAAUGUUCUAAAGUUAGGAAUGAGAGAAAUCAAGUUGUUCCACAUCUAAUCAGGUAUAACAGUAAUUCUUAACUUUUUUUGUGCCUUUGAGAAUAUGACAGUAAGAGUAGGCCCUAUGUCCAGAAAAAA